GGUAUUAAACCUGAGGCCGCCUACCUAGAGUAACAUACUGGUGGUUUUGUUAGUUCCUCGGGUAUCAAAUAUCAAGCACGUGUUGAAAAUAUGUUCUUUCCUGUGUUUCCUAGAUUCUUCAAGAAGAAAUCGGUGGCGUCAAAGGGCACUUUGGACCAAUUAAUGCUUUGGCUUUCAACCCUGAUGGGAAAAGUUUUGCGAGUGGUGGUGAAGAUGGGUAUGUGAGAUUACAUCAUUUUGACGCCGAUUACUUCCAUAUCAAGAUUUAAGGUUGAAGUGCAGCUUCUCAAAUCGAAAAACAAUCGCAAUCUCCCCCGCCUUCGUUCUUCCUGGUUGAGCAAAAUUUUUGUAGAGGAUAGCUUGUUAAGGCUUGAAAAACUUCAGAAAGGGAAUAUACUGUGUUUGGUGCUGUUUCUGUUGAAUGUUAAAUGGAUUAUUUAUUCAAAGUUAUGUUUUUAACCUCUAUUGAGUAUUAUAAAACGACCAAAUUUUACUUUCA